rnacentral:rRNA from 1 species
AUUGAACGCUGGCGGCAGGCCUAACACAUGCAAGUCGAACGAGUGGCGGACGGGUGAGUAAUGUCUGGGAAACUGCCCGAUGGAGGGGGAUAACUACUGGAAACGGUAGCUAAUACCGCGUAACAUCGGAUGUGCCCAGAUGGGAUUAGCUUGUAGGUGAGGUAACGGCUCACCUAUGCGACGAUCCCUAGCUGGUCUGAGAGGAUGACAAGCCUCACUGGAACUGAGACCCGGUCCUGACUCCCACGGGUGGCACCAGUGGGGAAUAUUGAACAAUGUGCGCAAGCCUGAUGCAGCUACGCCGCGUGUAUGAAGAAGGCCUUCGGGUUGUAAAUUACUUUCAGCGGGGAGGCGUUACCCGCAGAAGAAGCACCGGCUAACUCCGUGCCAGCAGCCGCUGUAAUAC